UUUUUCUUUAUUUCUUUGGUGUUCUUUCUCUCCCCUAGACUUAUUCUUUUUAGAGAGUAAACAAAGGGGAACUCGCAUACUGGAUCGACACCCUCAACAUUUUUCCAACCUUUGUAAUUGAUCAUUCCAAAUAAUGUAUAAUAAUGGGGUCAUAGGAAAUAUUCCUACCCCUAUACACUAUCUGAAAAUCCUGUCAAUCUCUCAUUAUUAUUUUUU
rnacentral:sRNA from 1 species